GUCAGGAUGGCCGAGUGGUCUAAGGCGCCAGACUCAAGGCUCGUUCCUUCCCUGUGCUGGGUGUUCUGGUCUCCGAAUGGAGGCGUGGGUUCAAAUCCCACUUCUGACA
rnacentral:tRNA from 1 species